rnacentral:lncRNA from 1 species
GUAAGAAUAAAGCGAGAGGAGAUCCUGUCUGCUUAUUUCCAGGCUGCUUCUAUGUGUGUGGAUUCAGGCUGUGGGUUCACAGGCAGCUGAGUUGAUUGGAUGGCUUCAUUCCUCUGAAAUGAAAUCUUACCUCCUCUUCCUUCUCUUGCCCUUCAUCUUCCCCCUCACCUCACCCUUCGUACUCCCCUCCUUCCACCAGUGCCUGGUGUGUGCCACACGUGUGCUGCACGUGUGACCCAUGCGAUGAGCCAGUUCAGUUCCCCAGUCCAGCAGAAAAUUGUCUUGAGUUUUUCUGGGUUAUUUUUCUGUUGAGUUGGUGAGCUGUGUCAGUUCAGAGACAUUUAUGGACCAACAUUAGAAUGAAUGGUGAGACUGUGAGGCUGAGGGCAGCAAGGGAGGGGGAACUGGGGAGGGCAGCCUCACCGCUUCUGCAGAGAUAAAAGCAUCAGAGAUAAAAGUGUGAGUAUCGGAGUUUUUAUCAGAGAUAAAAGUAUUGUGUCAGCCCAUUGCAUCUCUCAAAAUCACAGCUUCAGUUUUUCUCAGGAAAGUACGUGCAUCUCUGUUUAUAUGCAGAUGACUUUCUGGUUCUCUCUCAUAUCUCCCUCUUCUCUCUGACAGGCAAGACUUCGGUUCCUCGGCCUCCUGCCCCAUCUUUUAUGGAUCUCAGGAACUGCCUGUGAGGCAGAGCACCCUGGAAAACAGAGGAGCAGCAGUAUACAUCACCAGAGGCUGCAGGAGAAUACUGGAAGCAGAGGAUGGGAUCUGCCGCCUGUACCAUGCAGCAAUCAGAGCUAUCCCUACUUGUUCUUUUGAGAUAAAACACACUUUUUAAUGCUUAGAUUUUAAUUACCUUUCUACUCAAUGUACAGGCUUGUAGAGGAGCCCACCCUGUUUUGUAUUUUCUUUAAAGGAUCCAUAAGUUCAAUACGAUGAGACCUAGCUUAGUAAAGAUAAGGAAAGGUUUCCCCAGGGAUGCUGUGGCAUGAAAGAGGUUUCUGUCAUGAUAUGGUCAUUCUAACAAAGCAGAGCAAUACAUGAGGGUUUCUCACCUUUAACUUGUUGGCAUUAUACAGCACAGACCUUCCACUAAUUGUUACAAAUUCAGAAUAAGAAAAAAUAAAUGAAAAACAGAAGUUGAAAUUGUGAGUUAAUGAGAGCAAAAUGUGGAGUGGGCUGCAGCAUUCUGUUUGUUAAAUACUGUUGUUCCUGGAUCAAAGAGAGUGAGGUAUCUAGCAAUUAUUUAAACCUGUUUUAAAACUUCCUUCAAGAAAAUUUACUAAGAGACCUCCUUCUCAUAUCACGAAUGGAUUUGUGGAAAGAUGUUUACCCCUCAGAAAGCCUCAUAGUUUGGCUUAUUACAGAGACAAAAAUCAAUAACAUGCAAACUCUCAC